rnacentral:lncRNA from 1 species
CCAUCCUGGUCCCACGAGCUGAUCAGUGUUCUGUAAAUAUUGAGAUUUGAUAAAGUAAACGCUACUCUGGCAGCAGAUGGUUUGGAAUGCUCUGUUGACAUUGCCUGCGAUUACUUGGAUAUGAAGACUUUGCUUCUCAUAGGCCUCCUUUGGGAGCCACUGGAGGACUUGAUCCCCUCUCCAGCUAUUUGCCUUCUAAUUGAAAAUCCUUAUUCCCAGAUGGAGCAUAAUGCUGCUGCUUCAGGCGUCUAGCUCUGCACUGCUUGACUGUUGAUACAUGGGAGAACCACAUGGAUCCUUCACAUAAAGUCUUACAGCUGCAGUUGCGAAUUGUGAAUGAGCAUAGAAGAAUACUGCAUUCCAGAAAUUCAAGAAAAAACUUGGACGACUUUAACUGGCUUCAGAAACAGCUGGAAGAAAGCUGCACCGAAAUCAAAGCAGUGAGCUACAUGGUGCAUAAUAUCCAUUUCUAUGAGAAAUUAUGUGAUUAUCAGAGAAAUACUUGCCUCAGACCUUCCAAAGUUUCUUAGGAUAUCUAUGUUCAAAAUCAAAGCCUGCAUG